rnacentral:rRNA from 1 species
GCUAGGAUGAACGCUAGCUACAGGCUUAACACAUGCAAGUCGAGGGCAGCAUGAAGCUUGCUUGCAAACUUGAUGGCGACCGGCGCACGGGUGAGUAACGCGUAUCCAACCUUCCCUAUACUAGAGGAUAGCCCGGCGAAAGUCGGAUUAAUACUCUAUGUUGUAUUUCGAGGACAUCUGAAUAAUACCAAAGGUUUACCGGUAUAGGAUGGGGGAUGCGUCUGAUUAGGUUGUUGGCGGGGUAACGGCCCACCAAGCCUACGAUCAGUAGGGUUCUGAGAGGAAGGUCCCCCACAUUGGAACUGAGACACGGUCCAAACUCCUACGGGAGGCAGCAGUGAGGAAUAUUGGUCAAUGGACGAGAGUCUGAACCAGCCAAGUAGCGUGCAGGAUGACGGCCCUAUGGGUUGUAAACUGCUUUUAUACAGGGAUAAAGUGACGUACGUGUACGUUUUUGUAGGUACUGUAUGAAUAAGGACCGGCUAAUUCCGUGCCAGCAGCGGC